CAUACUCUCCUAAGGAGAAAGAAUUUGAAGGAAAAAAAAAGGAGAAAGGCUGGAGACUCAGCAAAGACAUUUUCAUGGAGUGAAAAUUCUCAAGUUAUCAACGAAGAGACCAACUUCAAAAAAAUCAUAUGACGUCUGCUGUGUAAACCCCACGAGAGCAGGAAGUUUGAGAGAUGCAACACGAUACCCCCAAAUGUAGAACAGCUGGAACAGAAGCUGUAAGUAAAUGAAUAUUAAAUAAUAUUGGGCAUUUCAGAA
rnacentral:lncRNA from 1 species